rnacentral:rRNA from 1 species
GACGAACGCUGGCGGCGUGCUUAACACAUGCAAGUCGAACGGAAAGGCACUGCUUUUGUGGGGUGCUCGAGUGGCGAACGGGUGAGUAACACGUGAGUAACCUGCUCUUGACUUUGGGAUAACUUCAGGAAACUGGGGCUAAUACCGGAUAGGAGCUCCUGCUGCAUGGUGGGGGUUGGAAAGUUUCGGCGGUUGGGGAUGGACUCGCGGCUUAUCAGCUUGUUGGUGGGGUAGUGGCUUACCAAGGCUUUGACGGGUAGCCGGCCUGAGAGGGUGACCGGCGACAAUGGGACUGAGAUACGGCCCAGACUCCUACGGGAGGCAGCGGUGGGAAAUAUUGCACAAUGAGCGGAAGCCUGAUGCAGCAACGCCGCGUGCGGGAUGACGGCCUUCGGGUUGUAAACCGCUUUCGCCUGUGACGAAGCGUGAGUGACGGUAAUGGGUAAAGAAGCACCGGCUAACUACGUG